CCCCUAGGUGUUCUGGGCCGCACGCGCGCUACACUGAACAGUUCAACAAGUCUUAACCUUGGCCGAUAGGUCUGGGUAAUCUUUGAACGCUGUUCGUGAUUGGGAUAGACCUUUGCAAUUAUGGGUCUUCAACGAGGAAUUCCUAGUAAACGCAAGUCAUCAGCUUGCAUUGAUUACGUCCCUGCCCUUUGUACACACCGCCCGUCGCACCUACCGAUUGAAUGGUCCGGUGAAAUCUCGGGACGGCGGCUUGGUCGCUUGCGUCCGACUGCUGAAACUUGAUUAAACCAUAUCAUUUAGAGGAAGGUGAANUCGUAACA
rnacentral:rRNA from 1 species